UACGGGGGGUGCGAGCGUUAUUCGGAUUCAUUGGGCGUAAAGGGCGCGUAGGCGGCUGGGUAAGUCUGGUGUGAAAACGCUACCGCUCAACGGAGCGAUUGCACUGGAUACUGCCCGACUUGAGUGCGGGAGAGGUGAGUGGAAUGAGUGGUGUAGCGGUGGAAUGUUCAGAUAUCACUCAGAACACCAGUGGCGAAGGCGGCUCACUGGCCCGCAACUGACGCUGAGGCGCGAAAGCGUGGGGAGCGAACAGG
rnacentral:misc_RNA from 1 species